rnacentral:rRNA from 1 species
GGUUAAGCGACUAAGCGUACACGGUGGAUGCCCUGGCAGUCAGAGGCGAUGAAGGGCGUGCUAAUCUGCGAUAAGCGCCGGUAAGGUGAUAUGAACCGUUAUAACCGGCGAUACCCGAAUGGGGAAACCCAGUGUGACUCGUCACACUAUCAUUAACUGAAUCCAUAGGUUAAUGAGGCGAACCGGGGGAACUGAAACAUCUAAGUACCCCGAGGAAAAGAAAUCAACCGAGAUUCCCCCAGUAGCGGCGAGCGAACGGGGAGGAGCCCAGAGCCUGAAUCAGCAUGUGUGUUAGUGGAAGCGUCUGGAAAGGCGCGCGAUACAGGGUGACAGCCCCGUACACAAAAGCGCAUGUGCUGUGAGCUCGAUGAGUAGGGCGGGACACGUGGACACGU